rnacentral:rRNA from 1 species
AAAGGGCUCGUAGGCGGUUCGUCGCGUCCGGUGUGAAAGUCCAUCGCCUAACGGUGGAUCUGCGCCGGGUACGGGCGGGCUGGAGUGCGGUAGGGGAGACUGGAAUUCCCGGUGUAACGGUGGAAUGUGUAGAUAUCGGGAAGAACACCAAUGGCGAAGGCAGGUCUCUGGGCCGUCACUGACGCUGAGGAGCGAAAGCGUGGGGAGCGAACAGGAUUAGAUACCCUGGUAGUCCACGCCGUAAACGGUGGAUGCUGGAUGUGGGGCCCUUUCCACGGGUCCCGUGUCGGAGCCAACGCGUUAAGCAUCCCGCCUGGGGAGUACGGCCGCAAGGCUAAAACUCAAAGAAAUUGACGGGGGCCCGCACAAGCGGCGGAGCAUGCGGAUUAAUUCGAUGCAACGCGAAGAACCUUACCUGGGCUUGACAUGUGCCGGAUCGCCGUGGAGACACGGUUUCCCUUCGGGGCCGGUUCACAGGUGGUGCAUGGUCGUCGUCAGCUCGUGUCGUGAGAUGUUGGGUUAAGUCCCGCAACGAGCGCAACCCUCGCCGCAUGUUGCCAGCGGGUGAUGCCGGGAACUCAUGUGGGACCGCCGGGGUCAACUCGGAGGAAGGUGGGGAUGACGUCAGAUCAUCAUGCCCCUUACGUCCAGGGCUUCACGCAUGCUACAAUGGCCGGUACAACGCGGUGCGACACGGUGACGUGGGGCGGAUCGCUGAAAACCGGUCUCAGUUCGGAUCGCAGUCUGCAACUCGACUGCGUGAAGGCGGAGUCGCUAGUAAUCGCGGAUCAGCAACGCCGCGGUGAAUGCGUUCCCGGGCCUUGUACACACCGCCCGUCAAGUCAUGAAAGUGGGUAGCACCCGAAGCCGGUGGCCCGACCCUUGUGGGGGGAGCCGUCUAAAGGUGAGACUUCGUGAUUGGGACUAAGUCGUAACAAGGAG